UAUCUGUCCUCGUGUCAUCCGGAAUAUGUGAACAUUAAGAAAACAGCACCACAAAAUUUUAAAUGCCACAAGCUAGUCAUUGUUAAAUGACAUAAUUGCCCCUCUUAUGAAAAAAGAAAAUCUUCAACCCCUCUAUAAAUUCUCAGACACACAGUUAUAUAUUUACACUGCAGAAUCAAAACAACUCAUGGCUAAAAUCAUCUCUCUCUUUAUCACAACACUUUUUCUCUUUCUAGCUUUAUCGGUCGUUGUCGCCCGGCCGUUUUAUGACGUCACUCCGGUUAAUGAAGCGCAGAGUUUCGGUAUAGAUGAAGAAUAUAAUUCAUGCGUAGGAGUUGGAGACGAUGAAUGCAUGAUGAGAAGAACGCUUGAGGCUAACCUUGACUAUAUAUAUACACAGAAUCAUAAUAAGCAGCCUUGACCGAUUUUUUAUUUUUUUUUCGCAAUUGGAUUAUGCGUUCGUUGUAUAAUAUAUUAUACUAUUUCAUCUCAUAUUUUAUUUCAUUAGCAUAAUAAGUAGGCCUCUUUGUUUUACUACACGAGAUCGAAUAUAUUUUUUAUUUUUUUUUA